UGGAGAGCAAACAGGAUUAGAUACCCUGGUAGUCCACGCUGUAAACGAUGUCGAUUUGAAGGUUGUUCCCUUGAGGAGUGGCUUUCGGAGCUAACGCGUUAAAUCGACCGCCUGGGGAGUACGGCCGCAAGGUUAAAACUCAAAUGAAUUGACGGGGGCCCGCACAAGCGGUGGAGCAUGUGGUUUAAUUCGAUGCAACGCGAAGAACCUUACCUACUCUUGACAUCCAGAGAACUUAGCAGAGAUGCUUUGGUGCCUUCGGGAACUCUGAGACAGGUGCUGCAUGGCUGUCGUCAGCUCGUGUUGUGAAAUGUUGGGUUAAGUCCCGCAACGAGCGCAACCCUUAUCCUUUGUUGCCAGCGAUUCGGUCGGGAACUCAAAGGAGACUGCCGGUGAUAAACCGGAGGAAGGUGGGGAUGACGUCAAGUCAUCAUGGCCCUUACGAGUAGGGCUACACACGUGCUACAAUGGCGUAUACAAAGAGAAGCGACCUCGCGAGAGCAAGCGGAACUCAUAAAGUACGUCGUAGUCCGGAUUGGAGUCUGCAACUCGACUCCAUGAAGUCGGAAUCGCUAGUAAUCGUAGAUCAGAAUGCUACGGUGAAUACGUUCCCGGGCCUUGUACACACCGCCCGUCACACCAUGGGAGUGGGUUGCAAAAGAAGUAGGUAGCUUAACCUUGGGAGGGCGCUA
rnacentral:rRNA from 1 species